UCGUCACACUAUCAUUAACUGAAUCCAUAGGUUAAUGAGGCGAACCGGGGGAACUGAAACAUCUAAGUACCCCGAGGAAAAGAAAUCAACCGAGAUUCCCCCAGUAGCGGCGAGCGAACGGGGAGGAGCCCAGAGCCUGAAUCAGCAUGUGUGUUAGUGGAAGCGUCUGGAAAGGCGCGCGAUACAGGGUGACAGCCCCGUACACAAAAGCGCAUGUGCUGUGAGCUCGAUGAGUAGGGCGGGACACGUGGUAUCCUGUCUGAAUAUGGGGGGACCAUCCUCCAAGGCUAAAUACUCCUGACUGACCGAUAGUGAACCAGUACCGUGAGGGAAAGGCGAAAAGAACCCCGGCGAGGGGAGUGAAAAAGAACCUGAAACCGUGUACGUACAAGCAGUGGGAGCACAGGUUUACCUGUGUGACUGCGUACCUUUUGUAUAAUGGGUCAGCGACUUAUA
rnacentral:rRNA from 1 species